GAUCUAGUACUCGAACUGUCACCGUAUGGUGCGCGUUUCUGAGAAUCCUCAGAAUAGAGACUAGAUCGAUU
rnacentral:sRNA from 1 species